UAUUGGCCACGAGCUGCGGAGCGAAGCCCCGGCUGAGGCACCUCGCGGUAGUAAAGCAAAUAAGCGCUCGGCUUCCCCCUGGAAACUGCUGCAAAACCCGGAGCUGGACUUUCGGACGAGAGUGGCUCCUCCCUUGCUCGUGCCCGCCUGCGCACUUCAAGGGUGUGUGUGUGGAGGAUAGGCGGGCGGCGAAUUGCCCGGAGUGGAUUCGCAAUCCUAAACGCUACGAGGACCUUCCGCGUAUCCGCGAGGCAGGAGAAGAGAAGCAAGACUACUCUUUCCUACAAUAUAUUUUGUGAAAAGGACGGUCACGAAGAUGGCUUUCCGCGAAAAUUCCUUCCCAAGAGAACCCUAAGAUCCUAGAUCCUAUGCUAACAGAGGAUGAAUGCAGCAUUCAUACCAGGAAAUUUGGAAAACUGACUUCCAAAAUCGUGAACCAGGAACAAGUUGACUCCCAUCUCUCAUUCCACCAUGUUUUGAGCACAGCAGCCAAUUAUUGGUACCAUAAAGAGGCAAUUUGGCUUAGUGGUCAAGCACCAGGCUAGAAAACGGAAGACCGUGAAUCCAAGUCCAACCUUUCCCAUGAAAGCCAGCUGAGUGACUUUGGGCCAGUCUUUUUCUCAGCCCAAUUCAUCUCACAGAUUGCUGUUGUGGGGAAGAUAGGAGGAAGGUGAGAUGGAUAGGUUCACCACCUUGUAAAAACAAUAAGGGCAGGAUUUAAAUAAAUAAUAUAAAAGGACAAAUUAUAAACAUUUUGAGGGAUCCUUGAUGCUCCCUGAACUUGGUUGUUUUCUUGCAGACAUUUCUUUACCCAAGCUAGGUACCUAGUUUGUUACCUAGUUUGUGUGUUAUCCACACUUGAACAUAUUCUAGUGAAAGAAGUGAGUUCAGAAGGUCCUGUUUUAUCCUGGUAGAGAGGACAAACUCCAAAGCUCCAAAGGAAGCUGAAAUUGAUCAAUAUGAAAUAAUUGAAACAAAUGGUGGUGGCCAAUAGGAGUACUAAUGCAUAGGAAGGAAAGAACAAAGAAAUUGGUGGCUUUGGUCAUUAAAGAAUUUGCCCCCUUGUGUAUAUUUGAUACAUAUUUUGUUGCCUUUUUAUUGUGUUUUAAAUGCAACGUUUUAUAAUCAAUUACAUAAUUUUGUAAUUAGCAUGGUUCACUUUCUCUCUAUGGCAAACCUAUAAUCUCCAUCAUUAUCACUUAAUGUAAAUAAGAUGACCUACUAAACUAUUAAGAAAUUUGAA